GACUGGGUGGCGCAAUUGGUAGCGCUUUCGACUCCAGAUCGAAUGGUUGUGGGUUCGAGUCCUGCCCCAGUCA
rfam:Trachipleistophora hominis chromosome Tnknown scaffold00100, whole genome shotgun sequence.